AACACAAAAUGGCGACACGUGGUUAGCAUUCGUCGCCAACGAGAAAUUGGGGUCGGCCCGAAAGCUCUAGAAUGCACCCCUAUUCCUCCCCGGGGCCAUUCCCGCUCAACGAGUUUUAUGACCUAAAAAACCCCACAGGCUGGUCUGAAGAGGAAGACACUUAAAGAUGAAGUGCUUAAUUCAAGGUCACAGAAUGUCGGGGAUGGACCUCCAGAUUUCCUUACUGGAAAACAAGCUCAGGGCUCCCACUGAUUGUACAUUAUGAGACAGAGUCUUCUUGCUAUGUUGCCCAGGCUGGUCUUGAACUCCUAACCUCAAGCGAUCCUCCCAUCUUGGCCUCCCAGGUGUCAGGAUUACAGGCAUGUGCUAUCACACCCAACCUGAUACAUUGCCUUUAUAAAUUUUUUUUUCUUUAUUCUAAAAAACAGAAAAAACAAAACUGGAUACAUGUGCAGAACAUGCAGACCAAGUGUGUUGGGGACUUGAGAUAUGUACAUGAGUGUUUGUGAUGUUUCCUGGUGAAAGCACAGGUGAGACGUGGUCUUGUAACACAGUGGUUAAGAAUGUGACUUUGGAGCCAGCCUGCUAGGGGCUGAAUUCUGACUCAGCCAUUUAUUAACUGUGUGACCUUAGGUCAUAGAAUUUUCCACACUCCUUGACGGAGGUUCUUAACCCUUAUCCAUCAGCAUUCUCAGACAGCACCUCCGGUUAGGGACAGUAUCUGACCGUCCGACAUCCCUGCAGCCCCCAUGCUGUCACACAGACUCAGCCUCAGGUAGAUGGUUUCCGUAGAUGGUGGCUUUCUUUGGACCCUUGAUAUCAACCAGUUACUAUUUGACUCUUCUGCAGAACCCCAUGUUGACCCCUGCUUUGAGGUGGCAGCGUUAACACUACUCUUUGUUAUAAGCUCUCGUCUGGGGCAACUCAGGAGAACGGGACCAGAUGUGCAGAGGUAAUGAAUACCAGGGAAUCAGGAAACCACUGGAUCAGUUCUUUGAGCCAUAGAACAACACUCAUCCCAGCAGCUGGGAAGCUAUCUGCAAAAGUCCAUCUGCAGAAAGGGCUUCCUGGUCUUGCGUGUGGCUGGGCCAUUUCUCUGGAUGCAGGUUUUUCAUUAUACAGUCUUCUCAAAGGACCACCUGCUCUCAACACC
rnacentral:antisense_RNA from 1 species